rfam:Oryza glaberrima chromosome 8 Oglab08_unplaced072_1, whole genome shotgun sequence.
AAUAAACGUAAUUGUUGGUUGUAGUGUCCAUCUUUAACUAUCCGUCUCAUUUAAAAAAAAUUUAUGAUUAGUACUUUUAUUGUUAUUAGAUGAUACAAUGUAAAUAGUAUUUUAUGCGUGACUUAACUUUUAAUUUUUUUAUAAUUUUUUUAAAUAGACGAAUGGUUAAACAUUGGGGAUAAAAACUCAUUUCUGCACUUAUA